rnacentral:rRNA from 1 species
UACGGAGGGUGCAAACGUUGCUCGGAAUUAUUGGGCGUAAAGCGCACGUAGGCGGCCUGUUAAGUCGGGUGUGAAAGCCCCGGGCUCAACCCGGGAAGUGCACUCGAAACUGGCGAGCUUGAGUACGGAAGAGGGUCUCGGAAUUCCCGGUGUAGAGGUGAAAUUCGUAGAUAUCGGGAGGAACACCAGUGGCGAAGGCGGAGACCUGGGCCGAUACUGACGCUGAGGUGCGAAAGCGUGGGGAGCAAACAGG